rnacentral:tRNA from 1 species
ACGGUUAUGGCGGAACGGUAUACGCGGUUUGCUUAGGACAAAUUGGUUUAACAACUAUGUGGGUUCAAAUCCCUCUAACCGUA